rnacentral:rRNA from 1 species
GAUAACUAGCUGUCCGGGCACUUGGUGCUUGGGUGGCGCAGCUAACGCAUUAAGUUAUCCGCCUGGGGAGUACGGCCGCAAGGUUAAAACUCAAAGGAAUUGACGGGGGCCUGCACAAGCGGUGGAGCAUGUGGUUUAAUUCGAAGCAACGCGCAGAACCUUACCAGCGUUUGACAUGGUAGGACGACUUCCAGAGAUGGAUUUCUUCCCUUCGGGGACCUACACACAGGUGCUGCAUGGCUGUCGUCAG